GAGAGAGAAACUGAGCUAGUCCCUUUCCCUGAAUAAGUGCCCCUCCACCCCAACUCCCUUCCCAAGCACUGCUCUGUGCUUCAGUAGUGCAAUCCCCUCCAGACCGCUUUCCAGUUUAUCAGCUUUAUUCACUGAGCUCUACGAAACUUUGCAGACUGAAGGGAGGAAAGAGAAGAAGGUGUUAAUUUCACUCUUAUUUCACCUCUGCAUCUCUGCUGAUUGCUUUUCCAAAGAAGCUAUUCCAAAUGACAUCAGUAUAAGGAAAAUCUGUUCAUUGCGCUCAAAAUUUUAGAGAAAGACAUGAGAAAUGAUGAAGAAGUGGAUGAUUGACAGAGAGUUCAGCUGAGUUUCAGUUUGGUGAGAGGAUGUCUAAUAUAGAGGGCACUCCAGGAGUGGGCCUAGCAGCCUUAGCUGGAUGAGGGGGUCCCAUGGAAGAGGAUUGCCUAACACAUGAUUCUGAACUUCAUCCUUACAGACCCGCGAAUGUGUUUCUCAACGACCUGGGGACCAUAUCCGAAAUGUCAUCAUCAAUGGAGAUGGCACCUACCUACCUCUCAGUUUCUGUGGGAGGGUAGCAGCCUAACUUUGGAAGGUCUUCGUGGACAAUAUGUCCAUGCAGCUGUGUCAUCUCCUAUAAUAACACCACCUCCUGCUGGAAUACCUCCUGAAGAACCUGCUUGAGGCUGUUUAAAAUGGUUAACUUUUUUUAUUUUUAAUAUAUAUGUAGAAGCAGACUCUAAAAUAAUGACAAAAGUAUGGUGUAGUAAAUGCAUAAACCAGAAACAUGGUCAUUUAUUAUCAGUAUUAAGUAUUAUGUACUGUAUAAAAUUGUACUGCUAUACUUUUAUACUACUACUAACACAGUAGGUUUGUUUACACCAGCAUCACCACAAACACAUAAGUAAUGCAUUGGGCUAGGACAUUAAGAUAGCUUGUCACCUAUUCUAUCAAUAUGUGAUAAAAAUUUUUCAGUUCCAUUUUAAUCUUAUGGAACCACUGCUGUCUAUGCGGCCUGUCGUUGACCCAAAUGUCAUUAUGUAGUGCAUAACUGUACUAAUACUAAGAAAAACUGAGUGUUUGUAUUUUAGAGUUAAGCACUGAUACGUUUACAAAUAAAAUAAUAUCUGACGUUUGUUUCAAAGGAAUCUGGAUAAGAGGAUAUGGUAAGAACAUAUAUGAAGUAAGAUUGACCAUGGGUUAAUAAUGUUUGAAGCUAAGUGGUAAAUAAUCUUUGUCCCAACCUUUGUGCAUAGUGGUUCUCAAAGAUGAUCCCUGCACUGGCAGCAACAGGAUCAUUUGAGAUCUUGUUUGAAAAGCAAACUCUGAGGAAACCACAUAUUUUGUAACCAAAACUCUGCACAUGAGGCCCAUUAGCCUGUGGUUUCACAAGCCCUUUAGGUAAUUUUGAUCCAAGCUAAUGUUUCUGAAUCACUGCUCCAGUAUAAAUAACAUAGAAUAUUGCAUGUAUUUGUAGAGACAUGACAUUUGUAUAUUUUUAAGUUAUCCAUAAUACAACGAAAAAUAAUGAAAA
ensembl:lncRNA LINC02770 long intergenic non-protein coding RNA 2770